GAUAAGCGCCGGUAAGGUGAUAUGAACCGUUAUAACCGGCGAUUUCCGAAUGGGGAAACCCAGUGUGACUCGUCACACUAUCAUUAACUGAAUCCAUAGGUUAAUGAGGCGAACCGGGGGAACUGAAACAUCUAAGUACCCCGAGGAAAAGAAAUCAACCGAGAUUCCCCCAGUAGCGGCGAGCGAACGGGGAGGAGCCCAGAGCCUGAAUCAGCAUGUGUGUUAGUGGAAGCGUCUGGAAAGGCGCGCGAUACAGGGUGACAGCCCCGUACACAAAAGCGCAUGUGCUGUGAGCUCGAUGAGUAGGGCGGGACACGUGGUAUCCUGUCUGAAUAUGGGGGGACCAUCCUCCAAGGCUAAAUACUCCUGACUGACCGAUAGUGAACCAGUACCGUGAGGGAAAGGCGAAAAGAACCCCGGCGAGGGGAGUGAAAAAGAACCUGAAACCGU
rnacentral:rRNA from 1 species